rnacentral:rRNA from 1 species
AAAAACAUAACCAGAUGUCAAUAUAUUUGGCGUUUUYUGCUCAAUGACGUAAUUAAAUAGCCGCAGUACCUUGACUGUGCAAAGGUAGCAUAAUCAGUUGGCUCAUAAUUGGAGUCUGGAAUGAAAGGAUGCACGGGAAAUUACUGUAUCAAGUGUUUUUAAUGAAAUUGGGUUUCAAGUGCAAAUGCUUGUAAUUAAUUGUUAGACGAGAAGACCCUAGAAAUUUGUAUAUUCGUUUGGUUGGGGCAACAUAGUAGGAGGUAACCUACAAUAGCGACAAGAAAUAAAUUAGUAAGAAUAAAUUACUCUAGGGAUAACAGCAUAAUUUAUAAAAGUUUGUGACCUCGAUGUUGGAUUUGGGACUUAUAGUUUAGAAGACUCUUAAUACUGCUCUGUUCGAGCAUAACAC